CCCUAAUCGAAGCUCAGCACAUUCGGUAAAGUCUUUGGAUAAGAAUCUGAUGUUGAGUUGCUGGUCUGAUAUGGAUGUUUGUGGGGACAAUGCUACGGUAACACAAAAAUGUGCAUUUAUAGUGCUGCCAGGAGGGCUGGUGGAGAACACAUAGUUUUAACUCCGGAGCAGGGGUGGCACAGGGACAACUUCUGUUUAGACUUCUAUUGCAAUGUCAAGAAUUACAAAGCAUGGCCAGACGGUGGUGGAGUACCCCUUUAAUCCCAGCACUCGGGAGGCAGAGGCAGGUGGAUCUCUGUGAGUUCGAGACCAGCCUGGUCUACAAGAGCUAGUUCCAGGACAGCCUCCAAAGCCACAGAGAAACCCUGUCUCGAAAAACAAAACAAAACAAAGCAAAAAUCCAAACCAAAACAAAAAAGAAUAACAAAGCAGACUCCCUCUCCCAUUAAAAAGGGAUGGGAAGAACCGCCAGCCUGUUUAUCUUCUUGAACUCGGUGCCAGCAGGAAGGACUCUCGAAGCUCGUUUGCUCGUUUUUCUUUUCAUUCAAGAAAUCUACAAUUAAGGUCUGGCAGAUACAUCACUGGGAGCAGACUGAACCUAUGAGCACCUGCCUCAUGCAUGUGCACACCUCGGUACCUGAUGGGGGAUGUCCUUCUGUAUAUAUGUUUUUCUUAUUGGUUGAUGAAUAAAACACUGUUUGGCCAAUAGAGGCAGGAAGAUAGGCGGGACUAGGAGACGUGGAGAAUUCUGGGAAAGGUAGGAAGAGAGGUGCCGCAGAGGGACGCCAUGUAGUGGAGGAAGGAGUAACAGGUCCAGACCCUUCUCCGGUAAAAUAAGACCAUGUGGAAAUACUUAGAUUAAUAGAAAUGGGUUAAUAAUUAAGACAGAUCUAGCCAAUAAGAAACCCUAACCAUUGGCCACAGUUUUAUAACUAAUAUAGCAUCUUUGUGUGUUCAUUUGGGGCUGAAGUGGCAGGACCUGGUGGGACAAGAAAACUUCAGUUACAAGUACAUGCCUUGCUUGCCUCCGUAUUCUGAGAAGGGCACCCACAGUGCUAACUUACAUAUAGCCCGGAUUUGCCCAUCACAUGAUUAGCUCAGUUAGACAUAUUGGUGUCUAGCUCAGCACCAAGCCUGUGCUGUAUUAGACAGUGUUUUAGCUUUUUGUUUUUGUUUUCCUGUUACUGAAAGACCCCUGCCCCUUAGCCCUUUCUUUCUCAAGUUUGUCUCCUCUUCCUCCUGUCGGCGGCUUCCCCGAUCCCCACCCCCGGCGGCUUCCACUUCCCCCGCCACCCGCCGCACGCCCAGCCCGAGAACGAGCACCAGGUGGGCCGGCACGAGGGCGAGCACCAGGUGGGCCGGCACGAGAACAAACACCAAGUGAGCCGGCCUGGAGCCCUGCCCCUGAGCCCCCGCCCGAUGAGAAACACUCCGUCCCAAGGUCUCCGCCCCCAAGGUCAGCC
rnacentral:lncRNA from 1 species